GGAUGACAUUCUGCUCGGUGUGAGGCAAGACCAUGGUGUAAGAAUGGUAGUCAGGCCAGGAGUAUGAACUGUGGAGAGGUGGCCAAGAUGCCUACAUAGGGGUCAGCAGCAGACUCGAACUUCUCUGGUAAAGUCUCUAGACUCCCAAGAGAAGAACCCUGCUGGACACAAGCAGGAAACUAGGUCCCCCGAAGGAGAACAGGAAUAUGGCAAAAAGGCUUGGAUUCCAGAUUCAAGAACCAUUUACAGUGAGACCUAGUGAUAGCCAUCAAUAGUCUGGGUGAGGUGAAAGAGGGCAGGACCCCAGCAUUCUGUGCUGUCUCACAUACCAGGAGGAAGGAGGCCUAGAGUCCUGAAAUCUGGGAAGAGCUGUCCAGCUGCUCACCCUGAGCUGAGGUCCACAGAUGGCUUUGGUCAAGAUUGUCCUCCUCUGAGCAAAGACCAAAGAUGUGCUAACACUGCAAGUUCCUGCCCACUACCCAAGUGUGUGUGCCAUUCACCACAGCCUAUGCAGAGAAAGGCUGGAAGAGGUCUGUGUUCAAUGUGAUUGCAGUACCUUCAAAGUGCCUGUAAGCCACGGCUCCUGUAGCUGAAGUACACUGCAGAUAGAGUUCUGCUCUAUGGCCAGGCUGCGGAAAGGUGGCCUUGACGGGUAGCUCUCAGAAGCAUGAUGGAAGUCAGCAGUGAGCAUCUCCUUCGUGGCACACUGGCAGGAGCCGUAGCACCAGGACGACGUUUGGUAUGCCAGGCACAUCCUGUGCCUCACACAUCCAGGGACUGCAAUCAGGUAGCUGAUGAGAAUUCAAGUCACAUCGCCUGGACCAUUGCCGCAGUGAACUGAUUCAUGCUGCUACUUCGAGGUGGGAGAAGGGACAGUGGGGCCCAGAGACAAACCAGCCUGGCUCUAUUAUACAGCUGCUGUUCUCAAGCUGAAACGUUCCGUCCUUUCCCACUCCCUGUCUUGCUGCUGAGCUGGCUACCUGUGAAGCCUGAAGAUUCCAGCCCCAGGUUCUGACUGAACAAUGGUAUUAUGUGAUGUAUAAAGAGUACCCAGGCAACGGAGACAGGCAUGGCUUCAUUCACUCAGUGCCCAGUGGCUUUUGAACGCUCCAGCAUUCAGCCUUUAUCCUGAGCAGCUCUGGGCCUCUCCCCUCCCAUUUAUUGCUCAGCUGUCCUCAUCAUAAUCUUUCCCCUGUCUGCAAGAGAGCCAUGAAUGAGGGAAGGAAAGGGGGGAGACAAAGAUACUCUGGUAACCAGAAAGACUCCUGAUUGUGGGUGAAGAGAUCUGAGGUUUGGUCUCUGGUGCCAUCACUCAUGAGGGAACCUUGAGUGCAUCUCUAGUCAGCUCCAGGUUCCCUUCCCGAUCUAAGUCUCUGGUAAGAGAAUCAGGAAGAAAGUCCAACGGGAGCUUUGCCAACUCUGACAUUCUAUCAUGUGGUUGUGACAAGUCCCCAGGACCACUGAGGAAUGGAGAGAGCUAACCAACGGGGACAAAGUACCAGAAACACCUAUUGUGACUCAUCUGUGAUGGUGACUAACAAGACCAAGGUCCACAGAUGAGGAAGUUAUGCCUGUGAGAGAGGUCAAGUUGCCCAAGCAUGACCCAGUCUGACCUGGCUUGUGUUGCUGACCAUCAGGAACCCCUCACCAAGCAUCAACACAGAUAUCCAGAGGCCCAGGGCUAGUGGUGGGAGCUGAGCCUCAAAGGCUCUUGAUUCUGUGAACUCCUGAAUGCAGUGAAGUGAAGCACCUGCUCAGAACCAUCAUCGAUGAUCUUGGAGAAACAUACAAAAGAAAUGCUGUCCCCAUGCAGAGGGCGAAGGCAGUACUGGUAGGUGUACAGUUCUGGAAGGCUCCAUGGACUUGACAAAGUGCUCUCCUAGAUCAAGAAGGACAAGCAGAAUCUUAAGAGAGCUGACUGGACAGGUGGGAAGAGUGUGCUCCAACAGAGGCUGCAGAGGAGAGCAUUGUUCUGGAGAAACACUGAGCUUGAGGACACAGCAGCCCUCUGAUCAAAGACUCUCAAGAAGACCGAACUGAACUGAGCUGAAGGCAUGACCUUCCCAUGUCUAAGAGAAAGCAAAAAUAGUUGAAUCCAGACCUUCCCCAUCUGGACAAGCAGAGUCCAGAGCAGGUCUAGCCCAACCCUCAGUGAACACUGUAGAGGGAGACAUGAAGCAGAGGAAGACUCGGUGAGAGCCAGAAAUGUGAUGAAAUACCAACAGAUAAGCUCAGCAAAGCACCUUCACAGUCUUGAUUUCUUAUAAAUAACAAGUGCUCCGUGUGGUGUUGGCCAGGCUAAGCCUCCCUGUGCAUGAAUUCUUUUCAUUCAUUUCUUCAUCUGUUGUGGAAAGAGAUUUGAGUUGCCCAUUUCCCCAAUGAGUUGAGCUCUGUGGUGAAUGAAUCAUUUGUCUAAGUCUCUGACUAGAAAUGACAGUGACAGAAGCAUCCAGGGUUGUCUGACUCCAAAGCCCACCUGAGGUGGGUCUGUCUUCAGUGAUGGGAAGCAGAGCAACCCUGGAAAUGUAUGCUACAGGAUCAUUAGCAUGAUUUAAUAAGCCGUUCCCUUGAGCCAGGAUUGCCAACAGCUCCAUCUGACAUGGCCAUAUGGGUCACCACACUAGGGGAAGAGGCUAACUAUCUCCAGUCUUUGUGGGAAACCCUGUCCUGGCCAGGAAGGGGAAGUUUUAAGUGAUGUAUUAAAAACAGG
ensembl:lncRNA LOC102551656 uncharacterized LOC102551656